UACGGAGGGUGCAAGCGUUAUCCGGAUUUACUGGGUUUAAAGGGUGUGUAGGCGGACUUUUAAGUCAGCGGUGAAAUCUCCGGGCUCAACCCGGAAACUGCCAUUGAUACUAUUAGUCUUGAAUCUUGUUGAGGUAGGCGGAACGGGUCAUGUAGCGGUGAAAUGCAUAGAUAUGACCCGGAACACCGAUUGCGAAGGCAGCUCGCUAAACGAAUAUUGACUCUGAGGCACGAAAGCGUGGGGAUCAAACAGG
rnacentral:rRNA from 1 species